rnacentral:lncRNA from 1 species
GUUGAGUCCUAGAGGGGGUUGAUGUGUGUUCGAGGAGGGGGACUGCUUCAAAGAUUGCUGGCAAUUUGUACACGAUGUUUUUGGGAGUACUAGCGGGGGGUAGGAGGGGUAUGCUAAGAGUCCACCCUGUAAGCCCAAAGAGAUAUUUAGAUACAUAAUGUUGACUUAUUUUACUGGGAAAUACACAUCACACAUGCACACACAAGUACUUACGAG